GACGAACCGAGCGAACGUUGUUCGGAAUCACUGGGCUUAAAGGGCGCGUAGGCGGGCUGUCAAGUCUGGGGUGAAAUCCCGCGGCUCAACCGUGGAACUGCCUCAGAUACUGACGGCCUCGAGGGAGGUAGGGGCGAGCGGAACUCUCAGUGGAGCGGUGAAAUGCGUUGAUAUUGGGAGGAACUCCGGUGGCGAAGGCGGCAUCCUGGACCGAUACUGACGCUGAGGAGCGAAAGCCAGGGGAGCAAACGGG
rnacentral:rRNA from 1 species